UGGGGAAUAUUGGACAAUGGGCGCAAGCCUGAUCCAGCCAUGCCGCGUGAGUGAUGAAGGCCCUAGGGUUGUAAAGCUCUUUCACCGGUGAAGAUAAUGACGGUAACCGGAGAAGAAGCCCCGGCUAACUUCGUGCCAGCAGCCGCGGUAAUACGAAGGGGGCUAGCGUUGUUCGGAUUUACUGGGCGUAAAGCGCACGUAGGCGGACUUUUAAGUCAGGGGUGAAAUCCCGGGGGUCAACCCCGGAACUGCCUUUGAUACUGGAAGUCUUGAGUAUGGUAGAGGGGAGUGGAAUUCCGAGUGUAGAAGUGAAAUUCGUAGAUAUUCGGAGGAAAACCAGUGGCGAAGGCGGCUCACUGGACCAUUACUGACGCUGAGGUGAGGAAGCGUGGGGAGCAAACAGG
rnacentral:rRNA from 1 species